CGCGUGCCCAGGAAUCGCCUCACGCCCGCGGCGGCGGCCUCCGGUGGUGCUCUGGAGCUGUGUCCCGCUCAGCGUGUCCCUCUCCCCCGGCGCAGCUUUGGGAGGGAGUGAGGAUGAGGAAGGUUGCCCGGUGUGGGCGCACGCAAUGGCUGCCCGCGCCUCCUCAGCAAACCUGCCGAGCCGGCAAGGAUCCCGCCUCCCUCAGUGCGGGGCAGACCGGGCCGGGUGCUGUGGUGAAAGGGGCUGGUGGCGAGGGAGGCUAAAAUGUGUGUUUUAAGUUAGAGAGUACCUUGCAGAGCGCAGCCUGCGGCUGAACAGGUGCACGAGACAAUGCAGAUUCCAAUUUUUACGGUUGAUGCUUUUACAAACCGGCCAUUUUCUGGAAAUCCUGCGGCAGUUUGUCUGCUUGAAAAUGACUUGGACGAAGAUUUGCACCAAAAAAUUGCAACAGAAAUGAACCUUUCAGAAACAGCUUUCAUCAGAAAACUGAACCCUGGAGAUGACUUUACCAAAAGUUCCUGCUUUGGCCUCAGAUGGUUCACCCCAGCCAAUGAAGUUCCUCUCUGUGGUCACGCUACUCUUGCAUCAGCUGCUGUGUUAUUUCAUGUACAAAAAAAUACAAAUUCAGUUCUCACGUUUGUGACACUGAGUGGGGAGCUAAAGGCCAGACAAGUGAAAGAUCAUAUUGUCCUGGACUUGCCACUUUACACAGCCUACCCCCAGGAACUUAAGGAAGUUGAAGAAUUAAUAAAGGCAGCUGUUGGUGACAUGAUUGUUCAAGAUGUCCGUUAUUCUCCCGACACAAAAAAACUCUUGGUCCGCCUCAGUGAUACUUAUGAAAGGUCUGUGUUGGAAGACUUGAAAGUGAGCGCACAACGCUUUUUGUCAGCUGAAAAGACAGGAAAAGUGAAAGGACUCAUACUCACUGUUAAGGGAAAUUCCAGUGGAAAAGGCCAUGAUUUUUACUCCAGAUAUUUUGCACCUUGGUAUGGAGUUCUGGAAGACCCUGUUACAGGAUCUGCUCAUGCUGUUUUAAGCAGCUACUGGUCAGAGCAGCUGGGGAAGAAAGAAAUGCUUGUGCUUUGCCAGAGAACAGUUGAACAAGAGAAGCAAUACAGAAUAUCCUCGUCCCCUACCUGGUUCCCCAUGAGGGGACAGGGGGCAAUUCUGCACACAAGCCUUUGGUCACAUUUGGUUUAGAACAGAGGUUGGAUACUUGAUCUAAUAAGAUUCUUUAUUCAUAAAAGUAAACACUUUGCCAAACAAAUAGCCUUCCUGUAUUUGGUCAAAUGAAUCUCAAAAUGGAUUUUCUUGAGGGUGGUAAGUCUUCAGAGGAUCCACCAUGAACAGGACCUUCUCCAUCAUGGACUGAAGGAAAGAUUUAACAUUCUGUCCCAAAGGUCUUGUAUUUGCAUUUACACUACACAAUAUCUGUACAGGAUAGCUUAAAUGAUGUUGCGAGGGGAGGUGGCGAGAGGGGGUGGAAUCUCAACAUGUUUUCUGAAGAUGCAAAAGUGUCUCUGGUAAUGUGUCCUUACGGAUUGGCUGUUUCUCAGAAGAUUUUGACAUUUUUGGACAUUAAUGAGGAAUUAGAACUCUUCAUGCCAUCUAUAGACACUGCUUCAAGUCUUGAAAUAAACUGGAAUUCCGUCUGUACGUAAAAUUGACAUUUUGUACCUGGUUUGCAUUUUCAUGUAUUUUGUGUGUACUGUCCCAUUUCCUCUUUUAGAGAAACUAGCUCAAGCAGCCAAGAUUACAAUGGAUACUGUAAUCAGCUUCUCUAAUGUGUUUAGCACAAAAAAAAGUCUUGUCUGUCCACAAGAUAGGUUUGUGUUGGAUUUUUUAAUUCAUAUUCCAUGCAUAUAUGUCCUCAGACUUCUUCUGUGGUAGAAAUCGUACAAAACUGCUUUAAAUAGGAAAAAGUUAAGUUGAUGUAUGUUUAUGAGAAAUAAUUUUUUCUUACAUAUGUCUUAUCUGAGAGCUAUCAGGUAGUUCUGGGCAAAUUAUAUUACUACUGAGAUUAUUUGGAAAAGAUGGCUGGCAUUCAAGGACAUUCCAUAUCACCAAUUAUUAAUAAAUAAGAGCAUCUUCAGGCUUUUUAGAAACCUCUGUGGUAGCUCCUGUAAUAUCCGAUACUUUUUAUUGCAAGAAUAAAGGAAGAAUUUCUUCCAUAAAAUGAAGGAUCUGUUAGUUCCCAAAUAGAUUACAUAUAAAAUAAUACAAAAAUGAAGAACAUUAAAUCUACAAUCAGAUCUCUGGCUAUUGAGGUCUUUAGGAGUGGGUCAGCUGCACCUCUGCUGAAGCAUCAGACUUAAUUUCCUGGUUUGGUUCUCUUCCUAAUUUUUUUAGACUAAAUUGUCACACGACCACCCCCACCAACUACAAAGAGAAUUUUCCAGUACUUUUAGAAGGUGAAAUACUUCAUGAUCUUGAAGCUGGGUACAUGUCCUUGAAUUUAAGCUGCCGGUUAAAUCAGGGGUUUGCGUCAGUCCAUGCCUUUCUUUCAUUUGAGGAGUCUCUGCAAUGUAUAAAAAUUAUAAUCUCGCAGAUGUAUGGACUUUCAAAGUCACUGGUGAAUGUGAUGUAUAACAACUGUCUGUAUAUCCAGCCCUUCACACUGUUGUCGUAUUUCUAAGGUAACAUUUAUAAACAUGCAUAAGGAAUUCCAUACAACCAGACAAAUUAGAGAGGACUUCCCAGAUUAUUGUGGUGAGAAAGGGCUUAUCCAGGACAGUUUUUAUCUCAGGUUAAACUAAGGAAUAUAACAGUUUACUUGGGACAGCUGUAUUAAUUUUUGGGGAAAUUUGUUUCUUGUUACUGCCUUUAGCUUCUCUGAUUCCUUCCAGUACAGAACAGGUUUAUAGCAUUUAAGGGUUGUUUUUGGGGGGCAGAAACUAAGCAAAAAUUACCACCAACAUUAUUAACAGCAACAAAACACAUAAAAAACCUUGGAAGUUGCUACAUUAAGGUACAAAAAUCUACCUGUGUUUAAGCUUUUGCUAAUUUGAAUUCUCAUGAAGUCAAGAGUUUUCAUUGCAUCUUUCAUCUUUUCCAAGUAUUUUCAACGCACAGAUUGACAGCAUCAGAUUUAUGCACAAGUGUAGCAUUUCUUGAAAGGAGAGGGGUUUCCCUCCAUCAAUCACCAGAUUAGUUCACCUUCUUUCUUAGGAUAAAAAAAAAAGUCUUGGAGAUCUUCACUUAGGUUAAGGAGCAAGUGCUUCUUUCAGCAUUCCUCUAUAGGGUUGAGAAAUUCAAAGAAAAUACUAGUGAUUUCUUAAAAUAAAUAUUACAAGAGUGCCACUUCUUCCUGCGUUGAUGUCAUUCUGAUGACAUUAUGAAGAAAAACCAUUAGUCCUUAAAUUCAUUAAGGAGGGGUCAUUGAGCUCCAUGUCGGCUGGUGAGAAGCUCCAAGCCUUGUUGGUACAAGGGCACCAGCUGAUGAGUGAAUGCAGGGGGGUGUGAUACUGUGUUAUCAGCAUGUAGGAGAACAGACAGAGAUAGCGCUGAAGGCAAUCUUGCCCCUAAUAAUAUAUUGCAGCUGUGUUAAUUACCAAAGAGUGGGAACAGCCUUGUCCUCACAGCUAUGGGUUAUAAAAGAGUGAGUUAGUUGGUGGAGCAGUCAUUCAGUCGGAGUUGGUUGGAGUCUCCUGGCCAUGCUGUGAGGAGCAAGGGACAGGAAGCAGUGAGCUAGAAAUGCAGAAAGAAGAGAAGAAAGAGGGUAAGAGGCAGAGCUGUCUGGGGUUGUUCAUAGGACUGCAACUUAGCAAAGCUUUUCAAUGUUCCCGCCGUGGAGGAGAGUUGAAGAUUUCCGUGCGCAGUGACGGAAGAGUUGACAUUGCGGGGCAAACUGCUGUUGUAUUAAAAGGAAACCUGACUUUCUGAAAGAACUGGUGCUAAUCUCCUUUUCUUCUCUAAUCACUAAUCUUCAUGUUGCUCUGAUUAUGCUUCUUUUAUCUCAGCUCUAGGCAGUGAAUCCCUCCUAUUCUCAAAAGUCUUUGAUUACUCAUUGCCUAUUUUUAAAAAUUACUUGAAAGUACUCACUUCUGAUCUUCAAAAUCCUUGGUGUUCUUGCUUCCAUCUUGCCACUUCUUAUGUACACUGACCUGUGAAAGUGUCUGAGUACAGCUAUCUUGUUUUUCUGCUUUUAAGUGAUUAUUUAUUUCCAAAUUCCAUGUUAAAAGCCGUUACUGCUUCCAGGAUUAAACUGUAAGCAUCUGUUUGGUAAUAAAGCUUUUCCCAUAUAGAUAAUUUUUCAAUAAAUCUGAUCUUUUUAAAAAUUGUAUUUUCUCAGCUAUAUAUUGAAGUGACAGCCAUGUUCAUUAACUUAC